rnacentral:misc_RNA from 1 species
CAGAGGAUCAUCAUUAUCACAUUCUUCCUCAUUGUACAUUAUAACAGGCACAAAUGAUGAAGGGUACAGAGCUCUAGCCCAAUCUAUAAGUCUAAUAACAUGACUAUAAUAUUUUAUGACUAAUAUUCAUCAUUGCUAUAGGAAUAAAAUAACAUUAGCUGAAGAAAAUGGGGUAAGAAACCCAACAAUAUACAAAAAGAAUUAAUGAUAAUGGCAAGAACUUCACAAGCCUGCUGAGACCAGUCCAUGUAAGGUAACAAUACCAAUCAAGACAUUAUCUUGAUCAAUAACUGGCAGCUGAUGCAAUGCAGAAGAUGGAAUCUCCACCAUCUC